rnacentral:rRNA from 1 species
UACAGAGGAGCCAAGCGUUGUCCGGAUUGACUGGGCGUAAAGCGCACGCAGGCGGCUGCGCGCGUGGGGUGUGAAAUCUGGCCGCUUAACGGCCAGGCGCCAUCCCAUACGGCGCAGCUGGAGCCUUGCAGAGGUCGGUGGAAUUGCCGGUGUAGUGGUGAAAUGCGUAGAGAUCGGCAGGAACACCCAGGGGGAAACCAGCCGACUGGGCAAGUGCUGACGCUGAGGUGCGAGAGCGGUGGGGAGCGAACCGG